rnacentral:rRNA from 1 species
GACGAACGCUGGCGGCGUGCUUAACACAUGCAAGUCGAACGGAAAGGCCCUGCUUUUGUGGGGGGCUCGAGUGGCGAACGGGUGAGUAACACGUGAGUAACCUGCCCUUGACUUUGGGAUAACUUCAGGAAACUGGGGCUCAUACCGGAUAGGAGCUCCUGCUGCAUGGUGGGGGUUGGAAAGUUUCGGCGGUUGGGGAUGGACUCGCGGCUUAUCAGCUUGUUGGUGGGGUAGUGGCUUACCAAGGCUUUGACGGGUAGCCGGCCUGAGAGGGUGACCGGCCACAUUGGGACUGAGAUACGGCCCAGACUCCUACGGGAGGCAGCAGUGGGGAAUAUUGCACAAUGGGCGGAAGCCUGAUGCAGCAACGCCGCGUGCGGGAUGACGGCCUUCGGGUUGUAAACCGCUUUCGCCUGUGACGAAGCGUGAGUGACGGUAAUGGGUAAAGAAGCACCGGCUAACUACGUG